ensembl:lncRNA
UGAGACCUGGGCGGCGGGUGGUGGGAGCUGUCCUCAUCUCCAAUACCACGCCAGCUGCCUGAAUGCUGAGAAAGGAGGGAGGAGACCCCUAGCACCCUCAGAGGUUGUCUCUGCUCUUGAAGAACCCAGGCAGUGCCGAUGCCCCUGCUUGGCUGCCCUGCCUCUGGCAUCUUCACCUGUCAUUUUAAAACGGGACUGCGGAAGUUUGGAAAUCAGAUGUUAACAGUGGAAAGCCCUUUGGAGCCGCUUGAUACACAGCUGAGUUCCGGAAGAAAUGUUUCUGAGAGUGAAGACCACAAUCCACUUAAGUCGUAACUUCCUGUAUGAAUACAGUUUCCAGGUCAGAAACUCCGUGGUGGCUGUGGCCAGUGCAAGCUCAGAAGCCCGCCUGGUCGGGAGCAGGGUCAAAGCCCGCGUGCUGGCUGCGUCUGUGGUGCAGGCCACGCAGAGCUUCCUAGAACAGGGCGAGUAGAUGGCUAAGGAAAGGCAGGGUCUCGAGGAGAAGGGCAGCCGACUCGGGCGAUGAAGACGCGGCAGGCACAGGCCCUGGGUGCCAGGUCCCCCAGGAGGAGGACUUCCGGUCCGUGGGAGCCCUGUGGUCUGCUCUCCGAGGCCCGGGCCCUGCUGCCCCACGGCGGCCAUCUUGGGCCCGGGCUUCUGUGCGACGACACCUUGUAAAUACCAGGCUCCUGCUCACCGCAGGCAGACGUGCAAAGGCGGAGCCCCACUCAUGACAGGCCUUGCUAUGUAUUCCAGGAUGGCCUUGAACUCACUAUGUAGCCCUGUGGCGAUCCUCCUGCCUCAGCCUCCCAAGUGCUGGGAUUACAGCCAUGUGCCAGCAUGCCUGGCUCCUGGAAUUCCUUUGAAUUGAGCAAAGUUAAUGGACAAAUCAUCUUCAGAAUGAAUAGCAUUCUAACGAAUAUGACAGGAAAUAAUGCUGAAACAUGUUA